CGAGGCUGUGCCCGAGGCUGUGCCCGAUGCCGAAGCGGUGCCCGAUGCUGUUCCGGAGGCCGAGGCGGUGCCCGAUGCGCAGGCCGAGGUCGUUCCCGAGGCGGUGUCCUUGUCCGAUGCCGUUCCUGAGGCCAUUCCCGAGGCGGUGCCCGAUGCCGAGGUCGUUCCCGAGGCGGUGUCCUUGUCCAAUGCCGUUCCCGAGGCCGUUCCUGAGACCGUUCCCGAGGCGGUGCCCGAUGCCGAGGUCGUUCCCGAGGCGGGGUCCUUGUCCGAUGCCAUUCCCGAGGCGGUGCCCGAUGCUGUUCCGGAGGCCGAUGCGGGGCCCGAGAUGGUUCCGGAGGCGAUACCCGUGUCCAAGGCCGUUCCCGAUGCCGUUCCCAAUGCCGUGACCUGGCCAUCGCCACAGCCUGCUCCUUACUGGCUCCCCGAUUGGCAGGUUCCGUUCGGGCCACUCAAAUGGCGAAUUCCUCCCUGGCCGUCUGCACAACGAGAAUGGACUGAUCCACCGUGGCCACCUGAACUGCCUGGGCCCUCGUGGUCCCCUGAACUUUCGGGUCCACCGUGGCCACCUGAACUGCCUGGUCCCUCGUGGUCCCCUGAACUUUCGGGUCCACCAUGGCCCCCUGAUCUGACCGAGCCACCUGGGCUACCAGGGGAGCCAUCACUGCCGGUCCCAGUUCCCCUACACGGGCCUGGCCCGCCAUCCCUCCCCCUGUUCUGCCUCCACCAGUCCACCUCCCUCCUGGUCUCUUUGUUUUUUGGUUAUUUUGUUCUGAGGAGCAUCUGGAAGCUGCUCCUUAGAGGGGGGGUAGUGUCACGGUGUCUGUUCUGUGUCUCCCUGGGUGGCCACUAGAGGUCUCACUUCCCCUUAUCGUCACCCC
ensembl:lncRNA